AACGAACGCUGGCGGCAGGCUUAACACAUGCAAGUCGAGCGCCCCGCAAGGGGAGCGGCAGACGGGUGAGUAACGCGUGGGAAUCUACCGAGCCCUAAGGAAUAGCUCCGGGAAACUGGAAUUAAUACCUUAUACGCCCUUCGGGGGAAAGAUUUAUCGGGGUUUGAUGAGCCCGCGUUGGAAUAGCUAGUUGGUAGGGUAAUGGCCUACCAAGGCUACGAUCAGUAGCUGGAUCGAGAGGUUGACCAGCCACACUGGGACUGAGAUACGGACCAGACUCCUACGGGAGGCAGCAGUAAGGAAUCUUCCACAAUGGACGAAAGUUUGAUGGAGCAACACCUCGUGCAGGAUGACGGCCUUCGGGUUGUAAACUGCUUUUAUAUGGGAAGAUUAUGACGGUACCAUAUGAAUAAGGACCGGCUAACUACGUGCCAGCCGCCGCAGUAACAC
rnacentral:rRNA from 1 species